GCACACAUUGUGCAGCUGGCCGCCUGUCUCUCAUAGAGCGCCGCGUACACGCAAACGUGCGUUCAUAACUUCCGACACCCACCGCCUCCGGCGCUCGUGCCCCCAGUUUCCGAACUUGGCGAGGCCGUGCGCACACCUCUCUCUCUCUGCCGGGUGACCCCGUUGCGAUGAGCACUUUUGAAUCCGUCCUUUUCACCAAUGGGCUCAUGGUUAAUCACAGGCACUACUACACUUACGACGCUUCCGCGAAGCGCCUGCCGUGCACCUACGUUUUUCCCACCGGAUACUGUUAUCGCCGCACGCCCAGUGCCUCAUUCUGUGGCAUCACCUGCAAGAUCAUUAUUGGCAGCGUCUUGGGCGGCCUCGCGCUUCUGUGCCUGGCUGUCCUCGUUGUGUACCACUUCCGCCGCCGCAAGACUACGCAGCAGCCAAGCACUGAGGUGGCUCACAUUUCGAGCACUAACCAGCCGGGCCCUGCACAGACUGUACCUCCUCCACAGCAGCCGAUGUUUGGCGGCAGAGACUACGCGGGCGCGGCUGGCUACGACCGCGCCUCGCUGCCGAUGCCGCCUGCUUUCCCUGGCAAUGGUGUAGCGCCCCUCGGUCACGUGUCCAACACGUACGUCCCUGCUCCGACAGGCUAUGGCUAUCAGCCAUACCCACCGCAGCUUGGCUACCCAUUGGCGACCACGCAGGCCACGGAUGGUGUUUACGUGGGAGGGGCCACGUACUAUGCACGCGCGCGGGCGGCAGAAGACACCGCGGCUGCUUUCUCCGCGUCGAGCAGCGGCUACCCCCACCCGGAGAAGGAGGCGUCGUGAUCCAUCUUCGAGCUACUGCCGACGCUUAUAGAACGCAUGUCGCCAUGGCUGCUCGUGUGUCAGUGGUUUCCGCCACUGGAUGAGUGUUGCAGUGCGGUGACUCAGUCCUCGCUUCUGGGCCUUCUCCAGCCUACUGUCGCUAAGCAACGAAUGGCAAUAUCCGAGGUCUGGCCGCAGGUGAAGGCUUCAAAGAGCUGUGCCCAUUCCUGUGCUUCUUCGCUUGAUGGCAUAUGUGUUGCUCGCCCUUUUUUGUGGCUUUUCGCUGUGUUGUUGACUCCUACGCACCCCCUUCCCUCUCUACGUUUGGGUUCGUCGCGAUUUGUAUACUUCCUCCGCUGAGCGGGUUCGUUUUGUCCCGCCUCCCGCAUGUGCCUCUCCUUUCCCUCUCCUCCUCUCUGUGUGUGGGUGUUUUGCUUCCCGUUUUCGCUUUUGCUUUAUACCUUCGGCACUGUCCCGGCCCCUGCGUCUCUCUCUCUUCCGUCUUCUCCUUCAUCCGCGCACGUGCGCACAUACACAUGGGUGCCAGUCAGCCGGCACGUGCAUCUGAGCAUAUGCUGAUCAUACUUCCUUUCAUCUGUCUUGUUCCUGUCAGCUACUCAUCUCCUCUUUUGGUGGUCAAGUGCGAGGACUCCGCAUGUGCGCAUGCAGCAUCCGUUUUUCUCUGCCUUUCUCCCUCCGUAUCUUGAGCCCUUGCCUGUCCCCCGUGCCUCUCUCUCGUUGCGUGCGCUCUUUUGUUUUCGCGAUUCCGCCCUCUGCCAUUCCCCCACCUCGCCCGAUCCUCUACCGCACACCGCACUCCCCGUGCCUCCCCUUCACCUUCCUCGCUGAGCAGCGCCCCUCUUUCCACCUUUCAUGCCUCGCCCUCCCUCCUCUACCAGAUGCAAAGGGAUCUGAGUGCUCUGUGCAUGCCCUCUCCCUUUCUCGGCUGAGUGUUCUCUGGCUUCAAACGCUGCCCACAGUCACCUCAUCGCUACACUCUCUUGUUCAUCUCAAGCUUCUCCGUGUCCUCUCUUCGACUCUGCGGAAGGAUGCCUGUUGUGAAGGGCCCUGCAGAUUCCUUGAGGAUGGAAGGCUUGUGCUAUACUUCCUCUGUUGACAGCGCUGGAUAUGACGGGCACGACAACGCAGCAGCAGCAGCAGCGGAAGUCUCGCAGUGCAUCAGCUGUGACAGGAAGGCAUUCGGCUCAGACGCUUUUUCCGCCUCUGUCGUGCUUUUCGCCCCCUCCCCUCUCUCCCUCCCUCAUGUGCUGCAGAGUCUGUGCCUUUUUUUGUCUUGGAAGCUUGGACAGGAAUGAAGGAGAGAUGACCGGAAAACGGAUAUGAUGAUGAGAUGUGAGCGGGCAUGCUCUCCGCCGCUCCAACGGCACGCAUCGCCAGCCAUGCGUCUUCUGCUUACCGCAUUUUGUUCUUCUACUCCUUUCAUGCCUCGAGGGAUCGGCCCAUCGCACGCUUUGGAUUCUCCCCCGCCAACCCCUUUGAUUGCCCACCAUGGCAGGGAUCGUUGGGUGACGGAAAAGGCGGAUGCCUAGGUCUACUUACUCGCGGGUAGUCUUGCCCGAUGGUGCCUUGAAGGCAACGGAAGGCUCACGGAGUGCUCUGCCAGCGUUAGCGGUAUGGAGAGCGCGAGCGGAGGGAUACGGUGUCGGUAUAGUGCUCCAGGGAGAUAGGAAACUCGCCAGUUGGGAUCAGUUGGGCGCAUGCAUCGGAAUACAUCGUGCUUAUAUCUUAGCACCAUCCUCUUUCCUCCUCCUAUCCGUACGCGUGUACAGUGAGCAAGCAUCCCCCCGCACGCAUGCAGGUCGCUGGCCCGCACGACCAACUCGUUGAACGACCCUUGUGUGCGCGACUGGCUCUCUCUCUUCGUGAAACUUGUUGAGGGAGCAAAGCAGGGAAAAAUGCGAAAACAUCUGGUCUCUUUCUCUGCCUCCUGCCCUGCACAUGGCUCUCCUCCGCUUCUUCCACUUCUUUUUCGCUGUGUGUUCGAAUGCGUGUCUCCGAAACCGACCGGAUGAUUCGAUGCAGCGGUAACGGAAAUGGGACGCGUUGUUUUGUUCAGCACAGACGCGGCGUGCGAGGUUGCGUGAAGCUGUGCGUGCAUCGCAGAGGCGCACUGCGCGAGGAGGCUGAUCUGUCGUACGCUCGCUGAGCUCUACUAGCGCCCCUCUCCUUUCCGCCUCUCUU
rnacentral:misc_RNA from 1 species